ACCGUAGAAGGUGGCCACCUUCUCGGCACACAGUUAUCAUUGCAGAUAUGGUAGAGUACAAAGAAGUAUGUCUGCAGACGCAUGUGAAGUUUAUGAUAAUUACAGGGAAGUUUUACAGUUUUGCAUGCACAGGUUAUUUAAAUAAAACUCCUGUGUGAUGCUUGAGAUGGCAAGUUCAAUAUAUAGCUCUAAGAGCAAGCUUUAAAGUU
rnacentral:lncRNA from 1 species